AGAAUCAAAGACGUAGAAGAGUCCAGUAACAAAAAUCGAGUACCAUUUUUUCAAGUAAAAUGCCAGGGCAGGCCAGACAUCCAGAGAUUGGAGUCUCUUGUCUUGAGAGGAAGCGUGGGAUUUCAGGAACAAUACAGGUAACGCAACGACAUGAAGGAGGACACAAUUCUGGCUCAGGCUAUGCAGCAGUAAGAAGGACCUGGG